UUUCAGAUUUACGCACAGGCCAGAUGGGGCUGUUGAAGGGUGAGUGGGUUUUGCUGACCACCCCUUGGCUCUCUAGCUCAUGGAUCAUUUUGUGGAUGGGGAUCACGGCAUCUUGAUUUGUUCAGUACUGCUGGCGGUGCACUGUUGAGGCGGUAAUUGGUACUCGUUGCUCUUCUACCUUCAAGAGUCCUACUGCAGAUGGGUUUUCUGAUAGUCCAGAUGCAGGUCCACUCUGUGCAGCAGCAGGGCUUCUUCUGGUCUCAGCCAUGCUGGGGGAGGGGACUUGAUGGUAAGAUCUUAUCUACGGCCUGCCCUGCUCUGGCCGGGGCUCUGCAGCCUCCCCCACAUUCCUGCCCGGAAACUGCUGGGGCUCAGCCCAGCCAGAAUGGGGUUCAGUGUCUCCCGGAGCCCCCACAGCAGAGUCUGCCCGGCCUGGCCCGGGACAGGACCUAGCAAGCUUCCCGGGCCUGGCCAGGAUGGGACCCGGCAGGCCCGGGGUGUGUUACCUUCUUGCUGGCUGGGAAAGAAAGAGAAAGUUCCCAGGUUUCUUUCGUCUUUAACAUGUGUCUUUCACAGAGGCAUGUCUAGCUUUUCAGUGGUUCAACAGACUGUUAGUUACGCAAAAAGUUUUUACAUCACUUCCCUACAUUCCUCCCAUGUCAAAACCAUGACAGCCACAUAGAGCAAAUUAAUGGCCCUCAUCACACAGCGUGCCCAUAUUAGAAAAAUUAAUCACCAUAGGAUUUUAGAGAUAAUUACAAAUUAGCCUAAAAGUAAAAACUUUAGUCUCUCUAACGAAAAAGAACAAGAAGUAACAUGUACUAAAGAAGCUGCAUCAUACAACCAACUACCAACAGAAGAAACAUGUUAUGCUCUUUUUGCUAAUAGUUCUUGCUGCAUUGUAAUAAUAAAACAAAAGUAGAAAACAACCAUAUAGAGCCCAACAUGACAAAUCACAAAAGCUACUGAAAGAGAAGAUAGAUCGAGCCAACUCACAGAACUCAAAGCCGUUCAACUAGCCCUAGACAUUGCUAAAAGAGAGAAGUAGCUAUAGCUCUAUCUCUACACCGAUUCAUAGAUAGUAGCCAAUGCUCUGUGGGGAUGGCUGGAGUAGUAGAAAAAAGCUAAUUAGCAGUAUAGAAGAAAACCAAUUUGAGAUGCUGAAGAUUAAAAAAAUAUCACUACCAAGGUAAAAAAACUGCCUAUAAAAGUCUGCCUAGUGGAUGCCCAUGUACCCAAGAGUAGAGCUAAUAAGGAGCACCAAAACAAUAAGCAAGUAGAUCAAGUUACAAAGAUAGAAGUGUCAAAAAUAGGCUUAGAUUAGCAACACAAAGGAAAGUUGUUCCUAGUUCAAUAGGCCCAUAAUGCCUCAAGUCAUCAGAGUAGAAAUGCCACCUAUAAAUAAGCACAAAACCAAGGGGUAGAUUUAAUCAUAAACAAUAUUUCUCAAGUUAUCCAUGAUUGUGAGAUGUUUGCUAUUAUCAAGCAAACCAAGCACGUAAAGCCCCUAUGGUAUGGUGGGCGGUACUCCAAAUAUAAAAAUAGGGAAGUCUAGCAGCUUGACUACAUCACACUGUCCCAGACAUGCCAAAGUAAGCGCUAUGUGCUCACAAUAGUAGAAGCCAACACGGGAUGGCUGAAGACCUACCCUAUGCCUCACACUACAGCCCAUAACACCAUCUCAAGUCUUGAAAAACAAGUCCUUUGGAGGCAUGGUACCCCUGAGAGGAUUGAGUCAGACAAUAAAACUUAUUUCAAGAACAGCCUUAUCAACACCUAAGCUAAAGAACAUAGCAUUGAGUGGGUGUACCAUAUCCCCUACCAUGUGCCAA